rnacentral:rRNA from 1 species
AGCCAUACCACCCUGAAUGCGCCCAAUCUCGUCUGAUCUGCGAAGCUAAGCAGGGUUGGGCCUGGUUAGUACUUGGAUGGGAGACCCAUAGUAGAUUUCUCAGUCUAAAAAGUUC